rnacentral:rRNA from 1 species
AUUGAACGCUGGCGGCAGGCCUAACACAUGCAAGUCGAACGGUAACAGGAAGAAGCUUGCUUCUUUGCUGACGAGUGGCGGACGGGUGAGUAAUGUCUGGGAAACUGCCUGAUGGAGGGGGAUAACUACUGGAAACGGUAGCUAAUACCGCAUAAUGUCGCAAGACCAAAGAGGGGGACCUUCUGGCCUCUGGCCAUCGGAUGUGCCCAGAUGGGAUUAGCUAGUAGGUGGGGUAACGGCUCACCUAGGCGACGAUCCCUAGAUGGUCUGAGAGGAUGACCGGCCACACUGGAACUGAGACACGGACCAGGCUCCUACGGGAGGGAGCAGUGGGGAAUAUUGGACAAUGGGCGCGAGCAUGAUGCAGCUAUGCCGAGUGUAUGAAGAAGGCCUUCGGGUUGUAAAGUACUUUCAGCGGGGAGGAAGGGAGUAAAGUUAAUACCUUUGCUCAUUGACGUUACCCGCAGAAGAAGCACCGGCUAACUCCGUG